AUCGGAGAUUUCCCUUCGGGGACAGUGGUGACAGGUGGUGCAUGGUUGUCGUCAGCUCGUGUCGUGAGAUGUUGGGUUAAGUCCCGCAACGAGCGCAACCCUUGCCUUUAGUUGCCAGCAUUAAGUUGGGCACUCUAGAGGGACUGCCGAGGAUAACUCGGAGGAAGGUGGGGAUGACGUCAAAUCAUCAUGCCCCUUAUGCUUAGGGCUACACACGUGCUACAAUGGGUGGUACAGAGGGUUGCCAAGCCGCGAGGUGGAGCUAAUCCCUUAAAGCCAUUCUCAGUUCGGAUUGUAGGCUGAAACUCGCCUACAUGAAGCUGGAGUUACUAGUAAUCGCAGAUCAGAA
rnacentral:rRNA from 1 species